rnacentral:snRNA from 10 species
GUGCUCGCUUCGGCAGCACAUAUACUAAAAUUGGAACGAUACAGACUAGAUUAGCAUGGCCCCUGUGCAAGGAUGACAUGCAAAUUCGUGAAGCAUUCCAUGUUAAA